rnacentral:rRNA from 1 species
CAGUAUAACUAACUGUACAAAGGUAGCAUAAUCAAUUGAUUUUUAAAUGAAAUCUGGAAUGAAAGGAUUAAUGAAAUAUAUACUGUCUCAUAUAUAUAUUUACGAAUUUAAAAUUUUAAUAAAAAUGUUAAAAUUUAUUUAUGGGACGAUAAGACCCUAUAGAAUUUUAUAUUAAUUUAUUUAUUUAAUUAAUAAAUAAUUUAAAUUAAUAUUUAAUUGGGAGGAUUAUUAAAUUUAAAAAACUUUAAUUUAUAUAAACUUUAAUUAAAGAAAAUAUUAUGAUCUUGAAUUUUAAAUUAUUAGAAUAAAUUACCUUAGGGAUAACAGCGUAAUAUUUUUUUAUAGAUCUUAUAGAAAAAAAUGAUUGCGACCUCGAUGUUGAAUUAAGAUAAAUUUUUAAU